rnacentral:rRNA from 1 species
CCUACGCGAGGCAGCAGUAGGGAAUAUUGCUCAAUGGGGGAAACCCUGAAGCAGCAACGCCGCGUGGAGGAUGAAGGUUUUCGGAUUGUAAACUACUUUUGUUAGAGAAGAUAGUGACGGUAUCUAAAGAAUAAGCACAGGACAAAUCCGUGCCAGCAGCCGCGGUAAUACGGAGGGUGCAAGCGUUAAUCGGAAUCAAGGGGCGUAAAGAGCGUGGAGGCGGGUUAGCAAGUCAGAUGUGAAAUCCUAUGGCUUAACCAUAGAACUGCAUUUGAGACUGUUAUUCUAGAGUAUGGGAGAGGUAGGUGGAAUUCUUGGUGUAGGGGUAAAAUCCGUAGAGAUCAAGAGGAAUACUCAUUGCGAAGGCGGCCUGCUAGAACAUAACUGACGCUGAUGCGCGAAAGCGUGGGGAGCAAACAGGAUUAGAUACCCGAGUAGUC